GCAGUCGUGGCCGAGUGGUUAAGGCUAUGGACUCGAAAUCCAUUGGGGUUUUCUUGCGUAGGUUCGAAUCCUAUAGUCUGCG